AAGCGGUGGAGCAUGUGGUUUAAUUNGAAGCAACGCGAAGANCCUUACCAAAUCUUGACAUCNUCUGACUCCUCUAGAGAUAGAGUUUUCCCCUUCGGGGGGCAGAGUGACAGGUGGUGCAUGGUUGUCGUCAGCUCGUGUCGUGAGAUGUUGGGUUAAGUCCCGCAACGAGCGCAACCCUUAAGCUUAGUUGCCAUCAUUAAGUUGGGCACUCUAAGUUGACUGCCGGUGACAAACCGGAGGAAGGUGGGGAUGACGUCAAAUCAUCAUGCCCCUUAUGAUUUGGGCUACACACGUGCUACAAUGGACAAUACAAAGGGCAGCGAAAUCGCGAGGUCAAGCAAAUCCCAUAAAGUUGUUCUCAGUUCGGAUUGUAGUCUGCAACUCGACUAUAUGAAGCUGGAAUCGCUAGUAAUCGUAGAUCAGCAUGCUACGGUGAAUACGUUCCCGGGUCUUGUACACACCGCCCGUCACACCACGAGAGUUUGUAACACCCGAAGC
rnacentral:rRNA from 1 species